rnacentral:tRNA from 1 species
GCAGUCGUGGCCGAGUGGUUAAGGCGUCUGACUAGAAAUCUGAUUCCCUCUGGGAGCGUAGGUUCGAGUCCUACCGACUGCG